rnacentral:lncRNA from 1 species
GUUGGGAUUCUCCAGCAACGCCUCCCCAAGUGGAAUAAGCUCCUUGCCUUGGCAGAUGUAAGUUCCAAGCAAUUCCUUCUCAGUAUCUCCAUCUCGGAAGGUGAUCCUCUCCACCAUAGCCCAGAAAAUGAUCCCGAGGGCGAACACAUCAGCCUUGGCUGUGUAGUGACCCUCCCACACUUCCGGAGCCAUGUAGAAGUUUGACCCACACGCAGAGGAGAAGCGGUGUUGGUUCACAUUCC